CAGUCGCCACGGUAAUACGUAGGGUGCAAGCGUUAAUCGGAAUUACUGGGCGUAAAGCGUGCGCAGGCGGUUUUGUAAGACAGAGGUGAAAUCCCCGGGCUCAACCUGGGAACUGCCUUUGUGACUGCAAGGCUAGAGUACGGCAGAGGGGGAUGGAAUUCCGCGUGUAGCAGUGAAAUGCGUAGAUAUGCGGAGGAACACCGAUGGCGAAGGCAAUCCCCUGGGCCUGUACUGACGCUCAUGCACGAAAGCGUGGGGAGCAAACAGGAUUAGAUACCCCGGUAGUCCCUGUCUCUUAUAA
rnacentral:rRNA from 1 species